rnacentral:rRNA from 1 species
UACGUAGGGUGCAAGCGUUAAUCGGAAUUACUGGGCGUAAAGCGUGCGCAGGCGGUUUUGUAAGACUGUCGUGAAAUCCCCGGGCUUAACCUGGGAAUGGCAUUUGGGACUGCAAGGCUGGAGUGCGGCAGAGGAGACUGGAAUUCCUGGUGUAGCAGUGAAAUGCGUAGAUAUCAGGAGGAACACCGAUGGCGAAGGCAGGUCUCUGGGCUGACACUGACGCUCAUGCACGAAAGCGUGGGGAGCAAACAGG